UGUUUUGGCAACUAUUCAUUUUGGACUAGUAUCCGAGCGAUAUACUAAACGCCAAACUCCUUUCGUAUUCGUUAUCUACGAACUGUACGGAUCAAGAUGAAAGUGUCAAUCGCCGUUAUCCUAUUGGCUGCCUUUAUAGUGGUGACGUCACUGGAGCCCGCAUAUUCAGAUCCAGCGGUUCAACGCAGAAGCUACUGCCAAGGAUGCUAUGACUAUUAUGAUCGCUGUAUGGGUGAAUGCAGUGGAAUGGGAUGUAUGCGCUGUCAACGAGUCAAAAAAUCUUGUGAUUAUCAUUGCUCAGGAUAAACCUCCGGGAUAAACGAAAAUUGUAUCAUAAUUUGAUGAAUAAACGCCUUCUUUAAUCGCG